rnacentral:rRNA from 1 species
UGGGGAAUAUUGCACAAUGGGGGAAACCCUGAUGCAGCGACGCCGCGUGAACGAAGAAGGUAUUCGUAUCGUAAAGUUCUGUCCUAUGGGAAGAUAAAGACAGUACCAUAGAAGAAAGCUCCGGCUAAAUACGUGCCAGCAGCCGCGGUAAUACGUAUGGAGCGAGCGUUGUCCGGAAUUAUUGGGCGUAAAGGGUACGCAGGCGGUUUAAUAAGUCGAAUGUUAAAGAUCGGGGCUCAACCCCGCAAAGCAUUGGAAACUGAUAAACUUGAGUAGUGGAGAGGAAAGUGGAAUUCCUAGUGUAGUGGUGAAAUACGUAGAUAUUAGGAGGAAUACCAGUAGCGAAGGCGACUUUCUGGACACAAACUGACGCUGAGGUACGAAAGCGUGGGGAGCAAACAGG